rnacentral:rRNA from 1 species
GUUUAGGGGUAAACCUGAGAAACCCGAAAGGUCGAAGGGAGAAAUUCAUUCGCGUUUCGCUACAGGCAUUGAUGGGGUUAUAUGACGAUGGAUUCAUCAUUUAUGAUGGGUUCAAUGCAUUUUCCUUUCAUAUGAUCCGGUGGCGAACGCGUGCACUUUUCUUCUGGUAGGACGUCGCAAUCCGUUGAGGGUCGAUCUACGGUUUUACGGUGGAGCCCGCUAGUGACUUAUUCACGUAUGUCACAAGUGGACCUGUUCAACCUGGUCGAUCGCAAUUGUUUUCAUUUAAUUGGAAACUCGACGGUAUACAAAUGGUUUGGGGCCGCUCUUUCUGGAGCGUUCGGCUCGUAACAAGCGCGCUAGAUGUGUUGAAGUCCGGACCUAGUGCCUGACCCGACCUCUAGUGACUGUUGGUUGCGAUGUUCUCGAACAGACCUCACUAAGAACCGAUUGGCGACGCUAUAGAUUUGGGUAAUUUCAGGACCCGUCUUGAAACACGGACCAAGGAGUCCAGCAUGUACGCAAGUCAUUGGGUAUUAUACGAAACCUAAAGGCGUAAUGAAAGUAAAGAUCUUUCUUGUAGAGAUCGAGGGAAGACAAGCGGUUUUAAGUUUUUAUAGGCUGCCGUUUUGCAUUCCCGGGGCGUCUCAUUCUCAUUGCGAGUCGAGGCGCACUAAGAGCGUACACGCUGGGACCCGAAAGAUGGUGAACUAUGCCUGGUCAGGAUGAAGUCAGGGGAAACCCUGAUGGAGGUCCGUAGCGAUUCUGACGUGCAAAUCGAUCGUCGGAACUGGGUAUAGGGGCGAAAGACUAAUCGAACAUC